AAUCUUCCUCAAUUGUUUCGCUGUGGAAGAUGCAAUGAAUAGCUAACACCAUCUGAUUUCUGGUACUUUUAUUAGAAGAAUGUCAGAUUUGAUAAAGCCAAUGAUUCUUCACCGGCAUGGAUAUCAGAUUCAGGAACUUCUGAUUUAAGAUUAUCGUUGCAGCAUCAGCUUAGCUCCGGAACACAAACGAAAUUAGACGAACUUGCUCCUUGUGAAAUUGAUCGUGCUACAGAGGGGUCGAAAAUCCUAGGGUUUACAAAUAUGUUCAUCCUCAACCUGCUAUCUCCUACUAGAGGUGCGUUCUUGAGCAUCUACUGGUAAGCUGGAUGACCUCAUGAAUCAAAUGAAUUCCAGAAUUGUUUGGCUACUCUGCUUUAAAGUUGCCAUUUUGUUAUGGUGACCGUAUAUAUGAUGUGCAUGUAUUACAUUGUAUAUAACUUUAUUAUAAAUGC